rnacentral:rRNA from 1 species
AUUGAACGCUGGCGGCAUGCUUUACACAUGCAAGUCGAACGGCAGCGCGGGCUUCGGCCUGGCGGCGAGUGGCGAACGGGUGAGUAAUACAUCGGAACGUGCCCAGUAGUGGGGGAUAGCUCGGCGAAAGCCGGAUUAAUACCGCAUACGACCUGACGGUGAAAGCGGUGGAUCUUCGGACCUCGCGCUAUUGGAGCGUCCGAUGGAAGAUUAGCUAGUUGGUGGGGUAAAGGCAUACCAAGGCGACGAUCUGUAGCUGGUCUGAGAGGACGACCAGCCACACUGGGACUGAGACACGGCCCAGACUCCUACGGGAGGACGCAGUGGGGAAUUUUGGACAAUGGGCGAGAGCCUGAUCGAGCAAUGCCGCGUGUGUGAUGAAGGACUUCGGGUUGUAAAGCACUUUUGGCGGGAACGAAAAGGACUGUGCCAAUACCACGGUUCGAUGACGGUACCCGAAGAAUAAGCACCGGCUAACUACGUG